rnacentral:rRNA from 1 species
UACGUAGGGUGCAAGCGUUGUCCGGAAUUACUGGGUGUAAAGGGUCCGCAGGCGGGCAAGAAAGUCAGAGGUGAAAGUUCACGGCUCAACCGUGAAAUUGCCUUUGAUACUUCUUGUCUUGAAUCCGAGAGAGGAUAGUAGAAUUCAUGGUGUAGCGGUGAAAUGCGUAGAGAUCAUGAAGAAUACCAGUAGCGAAGGCGGCUAUCUGGCUCGGUAUUGACGCUCAGGGACGAAAGCGUGGGUAGCAAACAGGAUUAGAUACCCC